UACCUGAAUCUUUGUUUUGUCUUCUGCCCUACACCUUACUCAGGUUUCUUGAGAAAAGUCAGACUUCCCCCUGUCAAAGUGAAUUGACCUAUAUAUCAUCAGUGUUACUGCUGUACAGAGAUGUCCUCAGAAGUAUGGAGGGACUACCAGGAGGCAGCUGUAAACAGGACCAGAAUGAAAUCCUGAUUCAUGAUUGGACAGAGAUCUCAGAAUUUGUGAAAGGAUGUUUAAAAUCUGCAACUAAAGAUCAGCUGAGAAAUGUAUCAAAGGAGGCGUUAAAUGGAUGUGGAGCAGAUAUCAUUUUAGUGUACAAACAGGUUGUUUCAAGGUGACAAUAAAGUCUUGCCUAUACUUAA